UCGGAAAUGUAGCUGGGUAAUUAUGUCAUUGGCAUCGGUGAGCCACUGUCAAUAUGUGACAUAUUGAAGUCGCGUUUGAAUUUGCGCUUGUUUUUUUGCUUUCACUUUGCAAUCGUGCGAACUGUGUAUAGAGAGCGACAGCACUGAUCUGUGAGUGAUGAUAAUUUGUGCACCAAUUCCUCUGACAUCGUCUUAUUAAUCGUUAGCUUACUAUGCAAACAUGACAAGUGAAAUCUCCCGCAGCUUAAACAUGUGAGAGGUUGAUCGCGCAGAGAAUCGCUGAGCUUAUGUGAGUGAGCGUGUAAAAGCAUUUCAGUUCUGCUGAGCCAAAUAAGACAGGUCAGGGUGAAGAAGUGACAGCCAAAGAAAAGCUUACCACAAAACGGAGAAGUUAUGACAAAUCAGACUAUAAGGCAAAAAGAAAGUGCAGCUUUAUGGUUUCAUGGACAAAAGAAUUUCUGUGGCUGCAAUAUGACGAGCUAAAUAACCAGGGCUGCACAUAAGUGGUCCGCAGGUGUGCAUUCGCUGUCACAAUAAAAAACAUGCACAAGGGUUAGGGUUAAAUUUAAAAACUGCAGUUUUGAGUUAAAAUGUAUAUUUAUAAUUUUAAUAAACGACAAAUUAAAAAUGCUUGAACAUUUUUUUGUAUCGAAAAAAUAUCGAACCGUGACACCAAAGUAUCGAACCGAACCCAACCGUGAAUUUUGUGUAUCGUUGCACCCCUAAUAUAUAUAUAUAUAUAUAUAUAUAUAUAUAUGUAUAUAUAUAUAUAUAUAUAUGUAUAUAUAUAUAUAUAUAUAUAUACAUAUAUACACAUAUAUAUAUAUAUAUAUAUAUAUAUGUGUGUAUAUAUAUAUAUAUAUAUAUAUGUGCGUGUGUGUGUGUGUGUGUGUGUGUGUGUGUGUGCGCUUGUUGAAGAUUGAAUGGAAGAUUAUUAACACAAUACUGGAUUUGAUUGAUGUAAAUAAGAUCGGAGCAUGAUCCAGCACGCUUGUUCUAACAUACCACUUUUAUUAGUUUAGAGAGAGACUUUUAAAAACACUUUACGGUGGCAUGAUAAACGGAUGGUUUUCUUAUCAGUCUGACUCGCUGCUUAAGUGAAAAUCUAUUUUUAUACAUCACCACACUCACUUCCAAGUCCUGAUUACCGUGCCCUUUGCAGGUAUUUGCAGAUUAACUCAGCAUUUAUUAAUUUAUUCAAAUUUCACUCAGAGUUUACGUCAGGACAUGAACCAAAAAGGACAGUGUAGUCAUGUUCUUAUACACGUCAUUGAAGUCAGUUUAUAAUGAGUAAUGCACAACGUGUGAUUGACGUCGCUCAGCUGUCACACUGUGUUGUGCACCAUGCUCCUGCCUCGACUCCUGAUCAGCUGUGUUUGUGCUCUGUCAGUAUUUUGCUUUGGAUGAGCUUCCAACAGCUUCACAUACAUGUUUACGUAGGAGCGCUGGGAUGCACAGCUGCAUCCUCACGACAAACAACAGCAACAAACUCAACCCCAUCAUCCGCCCUUAUUUUGAGUCAUUUCUACUACAGUAUUGUGUCUACAUCUGAGGAGCGCAGCUUUACAAAAGCAGCCAAAUAAAUCGUUUACUGAAUAUGACACGCAGACACACACAGUGUGCGCUGAUUCCUUAUCUGACCAUACAAUGACUGAGAGGACGUGCAGGCCUGAGAGCUUCUUGUGUCGUACUUGUACCUGCUGAGGUUUGAAAAAGAUCUUUCCUUCUGGACAACAAAGUGGUUUGGAUUCAUGAAAACAUGAAACGAGCUGAUGUGUGUAUAUUUAGUGACAAAAUCCAUUUUGUAAUACUAGUUAAAUAAACAUGUACUGCUCUAAACUACAGGUUGAACUAUGUAACAACAGCUUGUGUCCAAAUAAUCUGAGUUAAAUCACUUCCUGUGCACGUGUUCUGAAGCUCCCAUCAUCCUGUUCACUUCUUCUCACGUGACACACAUGAGCUGAAGUCUAGCCAUCACUUAUAACAUAUUCAUGUAAGGAGCUUGGAAAGAAAGUGACUGGACUGUUUCUGUUUCUUGAAGAUGUUCCAGCUCUUAUCCAAGGUCUGAGACCAGCUGGUGGAGAGUCCCAGAUUUUAAGCCAGCUAGUGGGACGUGUUCCUUACUAUGGUCGGUGACCCAGUAUUGGAUCUUCCUUUUUUUGUUUUUUUGAAGUGCAGUAGAACUGGAUGCUUCAGACAAAAACUGCUUCAUCCCAAGGACACAAAUGCUGACACAAACUAAACAACGUAGUGUAAGCAGUGCAGAGCAGCAGGGAGUGCUCCGAGCACACACAGCCACUCUAUAAACACACGGCACAACACAGAAGAGCCACCUCCACAGGACUCUGCUAUGAGUCUGCAUCUAAAGGUCAAAGGUCACUCUUUGAACACCACUGUGAGACACCAGCUGUCUGCCACACGAUAUGUGAUAUAUUCACUAUGUGACAAACCUCUGCUGAUUCAUUUUGCACCUCGGCUCAUGCGAUGAGGCACAUAAUCAAUAGUGGGUCAAUGACCCUCUUACUCCCACGAAGGCUCACAUACCUGGGACUGUCCACCAGUUGGUCUCAGAACUGAGAAAUCUUUUUGAAUGAAACGUCUUCAAGAGAUUUAAAGAAGUCCAGUCGCUCGUUAGAUUACCAUGUCCUGGAGGACUGAGAACCUACACACACACUUAUAACAUAUAACAUACAUGUGGCCCUCGAGCUGUCUGCCACAAUAUUUGACCAGAGAGAAGAAUGACAAAGACAAGGCCGUGCAAAGGACUCCCCCAGAAUAGCUAAGAAAUGCUCCGACGUCCUGCCCCCACGCUGAGUUAAGGGCUGCUUUUUCACGUCAGUCUCAUUUCCCUUGUCUGUACUUUGUGACACAGAGAGGUACGACUUCAUAAUGUGCUGAUCCAAACGAGGCAAACGGUUCAAUCACAGUUGUACAUUGUGUAAAGUGUUGAGAACAAAAUGAUGUAACUAUGAUGGAAACCAAAAUCCAACAUAACCCUUAGAUGACAGGAUUCAAACCUGCACCAUACGAUGAUACUGAAACACUUUUAUGAGUAAAACAAUAAAUAAAUUAAAACUUUGUUGCACAUCUUUCUUUUGGAUUUUCUAAAGCGUAGGUUCAGAGUAUGACACAAUGUAAAAUGUGUUGACAUUUUAGGAGGAAAGUCAGAUUUUAAGAAUAGCACUGAUAUCGUGUCAUCUUUCCAACCAAACCUUUCAAUCUUGAAAGCACGCUGCAAAGACUGGAGGGAGGAAGGAGCAGCUGGUCUGUGGAGAUGAAAGUAUUUCUCUGUUUUCAAUGCAUCAAGUGUUUCACUGACUGCAAUCAAACAUCACAUAUACAAGUAAAACGUGGAUUGCAAAUACAUUAUUAUUUACAUUAGCUGGUUUUGAUGGCAGCCUGGAGAAAUCGUCUCUUUUUGCACAACAAAAAGGUUCAUUUGCACAUGGAGCCGAGCCCGAUGGACAGGAUGAGAUGCUGACCUGGAUCUUCUGCAUGGCUGCAGUUGGAGGUGUCAAUCCCAUUCGUGCAGAUCCUCUGACUCAUCCUUCCAGGAUUCCCAGCCAGGUGUGACAGGAAGCCUGUGCUCUGCCUCCCUGUCAGGCAGGACAAAUCUGGACAGUUAUCUUCUCAGUUACAAAAUUACAAUAAAAGGCAGAAGAAGUUCAAAUGUUUAAGCAUACUCAGGGCUGCCUAGUCCCCAAAUGAUGUCUCUACGUUUCUCUGGAUCCUCACCACCUACCUGCUUCAUCCGAGUCUCCACUCUUUUGAUUAUCAGUCCUGUAGUAUGACAUUCUGCAGUAAUAAUAUAAGGGGAAAACUUCCAAAAAUAUCAGAUCACAACUAGAGUCUAAGUGAAACAUCAUAACCUGGAAAUAUGAAAUAUCAUUGGCUGUUCACCUG
ensembl:lncRNA